rnacentral:misc_RNA from 1 species
AAAUAAUGGAUCUGGGAUUUCUUCUACACGCGCUUAUUCCCUCAUUGAACUCGGUUUAUGUACUAGUCGUAUUCUUUGGUUAUCUGGCAAUUGCUGGAUCAAUACUCCCUGGAAAAGUUGUUCCUGGAGUUACCCUGCAGGAUGGUUCUCGUCUUUGUUAUCGUUGCAAUGGGUUGUUGUCAUUGCUGUUGCUGGUUGCUCUUCUUGGGGUUGGAGCUAAGAUGGAUCUUUUAUCACCCACUGUGAUAUCAGAGAGAGGAUUUGAGCUGCUAUCAACAACCUUUAUAUUCAGUGUUCUUGUAACUUCCAGUCACUUGGGGGCUUUUGCCUUUUUGCCAUUUCCAACUGCAGCCCUUUAAUCUCAAUCAUUUUUAUUGGUGAACUAUCCCAUUUAGAAUGAGCCUUCAUAUGAAAUGUUUGCCACCUCAUUUCCAUCAUGACUUGGAGUUUCAAAAUGCUAACCAUGAUUAUAAGUUUGUCAACUUGAGGUGUCAUUGGUACUCUAUGCUGCUGGUUGCAAUUCACAAAACCAGAGUUCUUCCCUGAAGCCUCAUGUCACUGGAAACCUAAUACAUCACUGGUAUUAGUACCAAACCUUGCUUCUUGUGAUAACCAUUUGAGUGAUAGGAUUUAAGCAAGUUAUUAUAUGAAUAUAUUCUUGCCCAUCUUUUAAACAUUUUUUUUUAAUUGUAGUUAAAAUAAUAUUUUUCUCAAUUUACUGCAUAUCUUUGAAAACUGAAAUAAGGAAUAAUAAAUUUUGUGGAGGCAAUCAAACCCUUAUUUUACGAUCAAUCCUUUUGUCCUAUUCCAUGCUAUAAUAUUUUCUGCAUGAUUAAAUAAUCUUGUAUGUGCUUGAUCCGUCAUCCAAUGCAGGAUCAGUCAUAAACUCCUAAAGGAGAUUUUAGUUUAAAAUCUCAACCAUCAAAAUCCAAUUUCAUCCAUUUUAAGUAAAAACUUUAGUCAAUAUCUAGAGAAUGAUGGACUUAUCACUUUUUUUACUUUUGUUUGUGCACUCACUAUUUGCUUAAAAUAAGCAAAUUCAAGUAUUCUCUUGCACUAUUUUUGCUGUCUUGCUCUGUAAAGAGUUGAUCAUUUAAUUCUUUCUUCAUUCUGGCGUCUCCCACAAUUGCCUACUUUAUGAACUUUGACGGUUCUCUAUAUAUUCUCAACCCUUUCUGCCCUAAAAAUGCAAGGUUGAUCACCUCUUCUGCUUGCUACACAUUCACUUGCAGAGUGUUUUCUUGUAUCAUUAAUCUUAAGAUCAUCACCCUUUUUAUCAUUCAACCGGUGGUUUGUAAUACAACUCAAUCCUCAGUUUGUGGGCAUUGACCUCAAGUAUGUAAUGCAGCUUUUAAUUGUUUGGAUGUGUUUCUUCUUUGGCAUUCUAAAUGCAUCCAUCAAAUGGGAUGGGUGUCGCUGUGAUCUCUAGAAUAUUCAAUUUGUUUCAAACUGUUUCUACAUUUAACAAGCACCUUUCUUCGCAGUGCAGUUUCAUUUCAUGCACUUGUAGCAUGAGCUUACCUUAAUCCCUAUUUGGUCUAUGGUUUCUAUCUGUUAAAGGCAUAGAGAGGAUGGUUUAACAUAUUAGAAACAUCAUUUUUUUUUCUUUAUGACAUUUUUAUCCAAGUGGACUAAAUAGGUGACAGACAUAACGGUAAGCUAACAAUGAAGAAGUUCUCUCUUAUAGAUUCUUCUUUGUUAGAGCUGGAAUGAUGGGAUGGCUAUUUAUAAACCUAUCAGUUCUAUCCAAAAGUAUUCAUGAUGCCAACUUGAGAUGUUCAAUGUCCUUAACCAACUAUUCUGUGUGGUAAUCUGGUGAUGCUUGGUAGUACCUUAUUUUAUUUCUCUACCCUUUAUCCAUGUCAUAUAGAAUUACUGUUAUUUCUUUUAUGAGGAAUACAUGAUCUCCACGUAAGUGCUUGACUUGCACCUCAUCUGUGGAGAUUAAUAUCAUUUUUUUUUUCUAAAUUCCUCUCAAUUUAAUAGAUUAUACCUGUAGUUGCUUAUUAGAAUGGGAAAAAGGGAAGGAAUUAAUCUUCUAAAUGGGUUAUAGAGUAUGCUUGCACCAAAUUCUAGGGCAUGAUAUGUCCUCUUAUACAUUUACAGUUUCCAUUUUUUUUCCCCGGGUCUUAUCUUUUACUUGUAUUCAUAAGCUUGCUUGGCUAUCCUUUUCCACCUGUUUCUAAUUCCUUGUCUAUUCUAUGAAUUGUUACAAAGAUGUUCUUUUUUCCCUCAUGUAAUUUGAUUCACAUAUCUGAGCCAUUUCCUUAUAGGUGGAUAUAAUCGCAGAGACACUGUGUUCAUGUUGGUAUUUGGUGAUCUUGUAUGGAAUUCUUUCACCUUUAGCAUCCAGGGUUGGUGGCUUUUGGCUAACAAGGCAGAGCUAACAACAGCUGCUGUUAUAGCAAAUUCCUUAGUUUUUCUGGUUGGGUAACUUUCUGGUAUCUGGUCUUUAGAGGAGCUAACAAGCAAAAGCAUGUUUUCAAAAAGAAUCCCAAAGCACUUUUAUGGGGUAAACCACCGAGGGUUAUUGGGGGAAAGCUGCUUGCUUCUGGUUAUUGGUAAGAAUCAUACUUGAUUAUAUCCUUUCAUAUCAAAUUGUAAUGUCCUACUGCAUUGUGUAUAACCUUAUUAGAAAUUUCAAUUAAACCUUGUCUUAAUAAUAAAAUGAAACACUGCUAAACUGAAUCUGGAAAGGGGAACUCUCUGAAUCUAUUUGCAGAAUGGAGGAGUUUUCAUGCCUAAGAAUUGAAGAAUUUAUCUGCAAACAUCAUCUUUAAUUGGUUUUCCGUAAUGUUUCAUAAUAUGAGAAGAAGCAGAAGCAAACCUACUAACUCAACAAGUGUGGUUCGGUUAGUCUCUAAGAUUCACCUGAAUUGGCCUAGAGCUCAGCAGAUGACUUCUUUGUCAUGCUUAUAAACAGAUGAUAGCAGCCACCUAUAUGGAGUCUCCCUAGCUGCUUUUUUCUUCAUGGAUUAUUCUACUAUCUCAAGGGAGUACCUUCUUAUUGGAUUCUUUGAGUUUCCAUUUUGAGUAAAAGUAUGUGCCUAUAGGCUAGCAACGUGCUUUCAUUUUCUAUAAAUGAUGUUUCAUUAUAUUGUGCUGGAGGGAAAUCAGUCACCUAUGACACAUGGUCCUCCUGUAAAGGGGGAAAUAAUCUUUUCAUGGGAAGAGUUUAAUGAGUGUAAUCUGGGAGUAUUGCAAGACAUUGUAACUAUCUUGGAGACUUACUGUUGGCUCAGUCCUUUAGUCUACCUUGUGGGAUAAGUGCUCCUGUUCCAUACUUCUAUCCGCUUUAUCUCCUCAUUCUGCCCAUAUGGAGGGAAAGGAGUGGUGAGGCUCGCUGUGCUGAGAAGUAUAAAGAAGUAUGGGCCGAGUACAGUAGACUUGUUCCCUGGAGAAUACUGCCGUAAUUCUAUUAAUAUCAAGAUUCUUGAAUAGUUGCUCAGACUUCCAAGUUAGAAGCAAAGCAACCGAGUGGCUUCUGUUUGCAUUAGAUUUUCAUUUUUAGGUUUAUUACAUGAUUAAUCUCAUGUUUAUAGCUUGAACACCAAUUAAUGAUUGUCACAAUUUUGUUUUUGUUCUUAAGAUGACAAAGGAAAAUAUUUCAUGAUUUUCUUGGGUGAAACUGUUUUAAUGGUGGAGAGUAGCUCUUCCAUAUUAUGGCCUAUGACAAAAUUGGCAAUGUAUUCAAGAUAACACCGUAAAGU